CCCGUGCCUCUCCCUCCACACCUCCCCGCAACUGAGGGAGCCGGCUCCGGCCUCGGCCAGCCCAGAAAGGGGCUCACACAGUGCAGGGCCGGGCUGAAGGGCUCCUUAAGGGCGGCCAGAGUUGGCGCCAAGGCUGAGGAGGUGCCCAGAGCGAGCGAGGGCUGCCAGGGCUGCUAGCAGGCUGUCACCUCUCAAUAGCAGUUUUGUAUAUGGGAUCUAGCCCCUCCCUAAGAGGUUGAUUCUAAGGAAGCCAACAGCCGUGUUGUGAGUACCCAAUGGAAAGUCUGUUGUGGCAGAAAACUGAUGUCUCCAGCCAACAGCACUGAGGCCCUGAGACCUGCCAACUGUCAUGUUACAUCUCAAGGAGAAGGAUUGCCAGAUCAAAAGUCUUGCAGUUAACCAGGCGUGGUGGCAGAUACCUGUAAUCCCAGCUAUUCGGGAGGCUGAGGCAGGAGAAUCGCUUGUACCCGGGAGGCAGAGGUUGCAGUGAGCUGAGACCGCGCCAUUGACUCCUGCCUGAUGACAAGAGAGAAUCUACGUCUCAACAACAACAACACGCUUGGGCACUGUAUUAACUCCAUAAUCGCCUCUGUGCUCUUUCCCCUGUGGACAAUAACUACCAUUUCAUCCUGGACACCCAUUGUUUGCCUGGACCACACCUUGUUAUGACCAUAACCCUCAGUCAGACUCAACCUUCCUUCAAGAUCUGCAGAUCUAAAUUUUAUUGGGAACAGCUAGUUUGACAAGCAUAGACCAGAUGUCCAGUUGUCAUUCAUUCAGCAGGAGCAGCAAGAUUCAAUCAUGUUUUUAUUAUAUUAUUUCCUGAAACUUGUGGCUGUAACAAUGAAGUUUGAGGAUUGGUCUGUGUAAGUAUGGCAGAAGUGAUGUUAAGUCGCUUAUGAGAUUAGGGUAUAAAAGACUAAGGCUUCCAUGCUUCCAUCUUGGUCUCUGUCUCUCAGAGAACAGUCAUGUGAAUGAUUCUUCUUGAAAGUAAAUCUUCCAGCCCCAGUCCAGUAUUCAAAUGAUCCAGCAACAUUGCAACUUAUGAGAGACCUUGAGCCAUCCAGGUAACAUGCUUCCAAAUCCUGACCCUUAAAACCUGUAAAAUAAUAAAUGUGGUUUUAAACUCUUAAGUAAUUUGUUACAUAGUAAUAAAUAGCUAAU
rnacentral:lncRNA from 1 species